CCCGCGGAGGCGGCGGUGGGAGCGCGGGGCGGGGCCCGCAGCCGGCGGCGCUUCCCAGUUUACUGAUAUGCAUGAGAAGAUGAGAAGUCCCAAGAGAAACAUAGCAACUACUUUCCUGCUAAGACAACUCACAAAAUCAGGCGCAUACUUAUGCAGCAAUGCCAACAGCCAGCAUCAAACAUCAGCGAGCAAAGCCAUGGGUUCCCAAGUGCACAGUCUUGAAGACAAAGUAGGUCUCUGUAGCACAGAGCUGUCAGAGGCUUAAACAAAGGCACCCUAAGCAGAAGAAGGCAGGUGCAUCCCCCCACUUCCCUAGAUCCAGCAGCAGCGCGCCCCCGCGGCUGGGCAAAACCACCGCCGGCCCCGAGCCAGCAGCUCGCUGACACAUCCGACGGCUGCAGCAGCGGGGACAGCUGGGGCAGGGCCGUACCGACACUGAGCAC